rnacentral:lncRNA from 1 species
GUGCGCUUCCGUAAUUUGUGAUACUUGAUUUCUUUGUGCUUUUGUGCUCCCACGGUAAACUGGAUUCCUGGCCUAAUUAACAUAUUUUAUUCAAUUCAUAUUACUCCGCAAAUCAUAAUUAACUUAAAUUUUCAAUUCUCUCAAUCACAUACCUUUUAUAAUUUCAUGCAUUACUUAUCUCUACAAGCCUAAUUAACAUAUUUUAUACAAUUCAUAUUACUCCGCAAAUUCAUAAUUAACUUAAAUUUUAUACUUAAAAACCGUAAAGUUGACUUAAAUCACCAAAUCGAAAGGCCGCAUACUGAAAAUCAAAUUUGAUAAGUUAGGUAUUCUAUUGAAAUGGGAUAUAUAUAGUUCAAGUAAGUUUUGUAAAUUUAUUUUUAUUUUGUUUCAGGAAAAUAAAUUAAAGUUGAAUAUGAUACUCCAUGCUUUUAAACAUUUUUUUCAACUUCUUUUAUAAACUCUUGAUCGACAAAAUGAAUAAGAUGCCCUAAACAAAUUAUUUUUACACCCAAAAGGUUUGUACGUUAAUGUAUACAACAAAAGAACGUCAGGAGUUUUGAAUAACUGUUAUAAAAGAAAAACACUCAAAACAACGAGUCCAAUACUGACCGAUAUGGGAAACUUCAAUUAAGCACCUAUAAUAUAGCAUACUAGUGAAUUACCCGCGCGAUGCUGGCGGAUAUAAAAUUAUUUUUAUAAUAAAUUUUAUAUUUUUUAAUAUUUUUAUAUAGUUUUAUAAGUUUAAUUAUUAAUUAAAUAAAAGUUAUAUAAAAUAAUUAUGCGCAAAGUAAAUUUAUACAAUAAUUUAUUUUAUAAAAUUUAUAUGAAAAGAAUUUGAGAUAAAUCUAUCAAUAAUAAUUUAAGAAAACCAUAAAUAAAAGGAAAAUAAAAUUGUGAAAAAAAUUAUUUAUAAAAUUAAUUAUGAUAUAUACACAUAUGCACUAUAUUAUUUUAAAUUUUUAGUCUAAAAUUUUAAUUCUAUAUUUUUUUAUACAAUGAUAUUUUAUGUAAUUUAAUUGCAUUUAUUAGGUUAGAUUUUAUUACGCGAUUUAUUACUGCGUAUUAUUAGAAUUUAGAGAUUUAAAAUUUUAAUUUUUGAAAAGUUUAAAUUUGAAAUAAUAUUAUAAUUUAAAUAUAAAAUAUUAAAUUUAAAUUUAAAACUUUAAAAUUUAAAAAAUCAAAAUUUUAAUUUUGUAUUUAUAUAUAUAUUGGUGUUGUGUGUGUGUGAGGGACUGUGCUGUGUGUGUGGUGUUAUAGAGGAGAGAGAAGAGGAGGGUUGUGCGGGGACACGUUUCACUUAAGGUUGUGACGAUCCCUGGUGUUUGACUGUGGAGGCUUAUCGACAGCUCUGGAAGGUGUCGGGAUAAGCCGAGUCGCGUUGGCGUCAAAUAGAGUAAAACGGGUCCGUGCGACGCUUGAGGGCGGCUUACGCGAAGAAUUCUGCAAACUGCAGCAUUCUCUGCUUGCCUGUACCGGUACAAGCAGAAGUGGUGUACCGGUACAACCAUCGACGCAGAAGUUAGCAGCUCUCGGGUUGGCUCUUGUACCGGUACAAGAGUCCGUGUCCGGUUACAAGAUGGUAGUAGAGGGCUAAUGUGUAAAUUUUCACCCUCGUUUUGUAUCACCAUCACCUUACCUUUUAUAUACUGAUGUUGAGAGCAUGAGAAGAAGUUCUUUUGCUGUCCUUUUUCCCUCUUCACCUCUCUAGCUUGGUUGAUGUGGAGAAGUCGGGUUGGGGGUUCGUCGCACGUGUGCGCCGCCCGAGCCGUUCGAGCGCACUUGCUGCGGGGCUUUGCGAGGAGGCCGGGCGAGGGAGCGCCUUCACUGUUCUUGACGUCGCGCGAGGUUUCGACGUUGUCGAGGUGGAGUGAUUCGGCGUCUUUUCUGGUUUUGGGCAAGUAUUACCAUUUCUACUCGGUUAGUAGCGUGUUUUGCCUGAAAUUCCGCCUCGACUGUUCGUAUUUACAGCUCGUUCUCCGGUAGCGAGCGUCGGAUCGCGACGAAACUUGGUUCAUUGGAUUCUAGACUUCGAGAGGAAUCCACGAGCCUCAUUUGCCAGAUUUUGGUAAAGGUUAGCUUGGUCGAACUUGGUCUCUUUCAGCUGCUUGAACUUAGGCUGAUUGUGAUGUUUUUGGUCGUUUUAGCUCGGCGACCGGUCUAGGUGGUCCCUGAGGAAAUCCACGCAGCAUCGCGGGUGGCGAGGCGAGUUCUCUGCAGGAAAUUGCCUGAGGUGGUUACAUCGGUUUUACUCCUAAGUGUUAUUAGUCGACAUGUAUUAAAUCGUGGUUUCUUACAAUAGUUUAGCUCAAAUUUAUGGAUUUUUGUUAGAAUGUAAAAAUCUGAAUUUUCGAGCAUAUUUUAUCAAGUAAAUAGAUUAUACAUGUUGACUUGGAAAUUGAAUUAGGGAAAAACCUGCUUAUUUGGACUGUCACCUGUUAACUACCUGAUUUAGCUCUUAGGAAGGCUGUUUAGAAUUAUCAUGUUCGCCGAGUGGAUUUUUACAAGGUUCGUUCAGGUCGUUUCGGACUGUUUGGGUGCCGUCAGAAUUGACGGUGGACCCGUAUCGCCUUGUUGGCGUCAGAUUGUCGAGGCACUUACCUGUGGUUUGAUAGACCUUUUGAGUCGACUACUUGACUUUGGCUUAGUGGAGCCUUUUGAUGCUCGACAGAGAUACGGUACUCGGUUUGGGACUAGCGCCACGAGAUGCCACUCCGAAAGUCAAGCUUGUCUGCUUUUGCUAGUUGGAUGUCGCUCAUGCCAGUUGCGACUUGCUUCCACGGACCAGUUAGAGUGUCUAGCAGCGUGCAUCGCAACGGUAGGCAGGGCGAAGGGAUGUUUCACUAGUUGCCCGGGACGGGUUAUGCUUACAAGUCGCGAUUGGAUUGGGGUCAGAUUUGACAUUUUACGUUGGUUAGUGUUAGAGCCAUGAUAGUGUAGUGGAUGAUAGCGGUAUAGAGUAUGCUUACUUGCUUUCCUUCUAUCCUUGCUCGCCUCUCUGUAGACUUAGUGGUGACCGAUGUUGUGUUUGGGCGGUCCACUGAGGAAUACUUGUUUUUUACAGUAGUUCUCGACGCCUACCUAGUUGUUACCUUAUGUUUUUUGCAGAGCACAGCCGUUCCGGUGCUGCCACCGUCUGCGCACCAGGAUGCGGCAAGGGCUGUCACGAGUUUAGGGAGCCCUACCCGACGUCUGAGCUAAGAUGCCCAGACUGCCAGGUAGAUGUUUUGUUUCGGAUGUUUAUGUACGAUAGUUGACUUAAUCGCCAGUCGAGUAGCUUGUAUUUUGGAAUCUGACUAUGUAUAUGAAACUUCUGUUUUAUUUAGCUUCAGUUGGGGGGUUUCUCUAGCUGCUCUCUACUACUGUUCGUAGUAGUGUUUGAUUUACAGUACAAGUAUCGCUACGUAUACAGGGAAAAUUCUUUUGUUAUACGGCGGGAUUUGUCGGCGUACCCGGGAGUUUAAUCAGGGUAGGCGAUAUGACAGAUUAAGUUGGUUAUCAGAGCUUUGCUGUGUGUCGUGGGACCUUAGGAAAACCUAUAAUUUUGGCAAAACCUUACAGGGGAAGCAAGGACUGUGGAGGGCGUUAAUUUAAUUGCGAAAGUACAUGAUUAUUUGUUUUCUUAACUCCUCUUCAGAGCGAGACGUGAGUGACUGAAGGAGUUCCGUUUCGGCCUUGAGAAGAAUUAUGUUGGAGCCUGCAGACGACAUAAUUUUGGAGGGAAAACAGGCGACCGUCUUCUAGACUUCUCGUUUUGAUUGGUCGAAUAGAGUGUUUUGUGUUAUCUGACCCAUUUGUUCACCUUUCAGCUAUGUAUCGUCGCCGAGGCCGACCGUCGGUUAUGCGAGGGAGCGUGCGCAGUUGGUGGCAGGAUAUGUGCUAGAUUCCCGAAGAUGCUGAGCAGGCAAGAGGCCGGUGUACCGCAGUUGUAGAGCAGAGGACCGACCGGAGGCGAUGUGCAUCACCUCAGAUUGGUAAGCCGAAGUCAAUUAUAUUAUUUUGGAGAGUUUGAAUUACAACUGAAUUCGUAUUCCAACGAGGCAAAGCAUAAAGGUACGUAGGUAUUUAUGAUCGAAAAUCACUUCAUUCCUCUCCACUUCGGCGAAACAGACACACUGUUAAUUUAUUUCUUUGUUAUUAAAAUUUGGUGCUUUAGGGAAUUAGGAAAAGAUAAAAAAUAAUACAAUAUGUACUCAAACUUCAGGGUCUAUAAAAAUGUUGAGAAAUGAUUCGGUACUUUUAAAAAAUAAAAAUAAAAAAGAUCUUAACCGUUGAUUAAUAGAGGGUAAAAAUGUAACUUUAAUACUUAGCAGGUAAAAGGAUUAUUUUAUUCAAGGUUAGUUUGGUAAUUAAAUAAUACAAUAUUUAAAAAAACUUUUAAUUGAGGUCCUAAAUUUAUGCAUUAAUUAGCAGUAAUUUAGGAAAUUAAUUGAUUAACCAAAUUUAUGCAAUUAUUAGGCAUUAAUUUAGGAAUCUACUUUAAAUGUUUUAGUGUUUCUCAAAUUAUGCAUUAAUUUAAAUUAUAGAAAUUUUAGAAAUAGUUUUAUUUCUAAAUACGAUGAAUUUAAAUUUUAAAAAUUUAAUACUUAAAAUUUAAAAGUGAAAUUUAAAUUAGAGGAAUUUCAUAUUACUAUUUAAAAACUAAAUUUCUACCAAGAUUUAAAAUACAGUUUAUUCGCACCAGUUUAAAACGUAAUGCAUAAAAAACUUAGAGAGUAAGAUUUCUACAACUAGAUUUCUCUAGAGGAAUUUCAUAUUACUAUUUAAAUUUUAAAUUCAAUGAUUUAAAAACUAGAUUGAACCGAUUGAUUUGACUGAUCAGACUUUGACCUAUUCUAUCAAGAAUCUGAUUUUAACCUAUUGAACCGAAUAACAUUAAGAACAAUUUGGAACCGGUAAAGAUAAUAAAUAUUUUAAACAGAAUGAUAAUUUAACUGUUAGAGCUAAUAAAUAUUUUAAAUAUAAUUUUAAACAUAUAAAUUAAAAAGAUUAGAAUUAUUGGUGAGAAAAAAAAUAGUUAGGAAUUUGAAUUCGAAUCUGACUAACAAUCACAAAACUUAUUUCCGAACUCGACGGAUUUCAAAAAUCCAUAUCCAAAUUCAAAACUGACCAAUUUUUCGAAACCCAAAACCAAACCUAAACCAGAAGACUAGAAUUCAAACAAUUAUUUCUGUUUACCAUAUUUCAAAGUAUUUAUAUGAAACUUAAAUUUUUAAAAUAUAAAUUUGAAUAUAAUAUUAAAUUUUAAAUUUAAAAGUGAAAUUUAAAUUAGAGAAAUUUUAUAUUACUAUUUAAAGUUUAAAUUCAAUGAUCAUAUUGUCAAAUCAUUUGAAAUUUUCCUUAUAUGAAAUGCCAAAUUAUAAAAGGAAAGAUAGAGAGAGAAAAAGGAAACAAAGAAAAAAUAAAAAUUUUGAAAAUAUAGUAGAUGUAAAAUGACUAAAUUGCUCAUGUAUUAAAGACAUAAAUAUUCUUUUUUAAGGUACCUGGUAAUCGGUAUCUCUUCCAAAGUGACCUGCUAUUACAGGUCACAAUUUAAAAAAAAACUAAAUCUGAGCCGUUGAAUACGCGUGAAUGAACGGUAACAAAAAAAAAAAAAGGUAUAUAGAAGCAUUACUCAAAAAUGUAAUUCAGCGCUAGUUACUACGAAAUUCCAUAUUCAAAUGGGUUCAGAUGCAUAACCUUAAUUUAGCCGUUUUGUAAAACAGUCCCUUGAACUUUUAAUUCUCAAUCAUAUAUCUUUUAUAAUUUUAUGCGUUACUUAUCUUUACAAGCCUAAUUAACAUAUUUUAUACAAUUCAUAUUACUCCGCAAAUUCAUAAUUAACUUAAAUUUUAUACUGAAAAAACCAUGAAGUGACUUAAAUCAUCAAAUCGAAAGGUAGCAUACUGAAAAUCAAAAUUUUGAUAAGUUAGGUAUUCGAAUGAAAGUAGGAUAUAGUUCACGUAAGUUUUAUAAAUUUUUGUCUUUAUUCUGUUUUCAGGAAAAUAAUUUAAAAGUUGAAUAUGAUACUUCAUGUUUUAAACAUUUUUUCAAACUUCUUAUAUAAAUUUCUUGAUCGACCAAAUGAAUAAGAUGUUGGGAACCGGAUGAAUCGUCCGUCAUGCGCUACUAAUAAAGAUACACGAAAAGAAUAGAAAAAAUCGAACGAACGGUAAAAAAAAUAAAUGCAGAAAGAAGAAACCAAAAUUUACGUGGUUCGAUAAUUACCUACGUCCACGGAAAAAGCGAGAGAGAUAUAUUCCACUAUAUGAAGAAAUAAAAAUACAAGCUUACACCUUAUGUCUUCUCCGGAUAAAAAUCAAGAACCUUAUGGUGAAUCUUACCUUUCUCUUGUUCCAACGAAAACUUCAAGAAAAUACCGAAAAAGCUUUUCGUAAAACCGAGAAAGCUUUUCGUAAAACCAAAAAAACCAAAUUAGAAAAGUAUAAGAAACUCUGACAAAAAAUUCUUUAUGCCGUUGCUUCGAAGAAUCCGAACUGCUCAGGCAAUUUAGUCGAGAAAUAUCGCUCUUGCUGUCGACUCCGAUCCGUCGCACGCGUGCUACCUCCCUUCUCUUGCUACGGCACGGCUUCAAGAGAGACCGGCCACCUUAAUUAAUUAGCGUUAGGCUUCAAGAGAGACCGGCCACCUUAAUUAAUUAGCGCUAGGUUUCGGGAGAGACCCGCGUCAACGUAUGCUAGUUAAUUAAGCUUGAUGCACCUUCCAAGAGCCGUACGGUUCACAAAGCCGGAGUGCUAAUUAAUUUGGCCUCUGCUCUCUUCCUGCCGUCGCAUGCAAAGGCGCGGCACUUCUUAUGCCGUAUGGAUAGGCCACCUUAAUUAAUUAGCCUCUCUCCUUCCUUGCAGCCGGCCUCAAGAGAAAAAACCGGCCACCUUUUAAUUAAUUAACCUCUCUAAUUAAAAAAGGCAUAAUUUUAACAUUCUCUAUCUCGACUUCUUUUUUACUUCAUUAUUCUUCUCAUCUUAUCGCCCCCACUUCCUGAAGCAUUUCAGUUACUAGCAGUUAUGCAAAUUAGCCAAGUUUAGACAGUGUCUAAACUUAUCCGUUGUUACCGACUUUGUAUGUUAGCUACAUUAUCCUUCGUGGAUAUCUUUAUAAACUGAAUUUUUCCAUCAUCCUUAUUAGUGAGCUUCCGUAAUUUGUGAUACUUGAUUUCUUUGUGCUUUGUGCUCCCAUGGUAAACUGGAUUCCUGGCCUAAUUAACAUAUUUUAUACAAUUCAUAUUACUCCGCAAAUUCAUAAUUAACUUAAAUUUUCAAUUCUCUCAAUCAAAUACCUUUUAUAAUUUCAUGCAUUACUUAUCUCUACAAGCCUAAUUAACAUAUUUUAUACAAUUCAUAUUACUCCGCAAAUUCAUAAUUAACUUAAAUUUUAUACUUAAAAAACCAUAAAGUGACUUAAAUCACCAAAUCGAAAGGUCGCAUACUGAAAAUCAAAAUUUUGAUAAGUUAGGUAUUCUAUUGAAAAUGGGAUAUAUAUAGUUCAAGUAAGUUUUGUAAAUUUUUAUUUUUAUUUUGUUUUCAGGAAAAUAAAUUAAAAGUUGAAUAUGAUACUCCAUGCUUUAAACAUUUUUUUCACACUUCUUUUAUAAACUUCU